ACAGGGUGCUUGCACCGCUGACGAGUGGCGAACGGGUGAGUAAUACAUCGGAAUGUACCCAGUAAUGGGGGAUAACGCUUCGAAAGGAGUGCUAAUACCGCAUACGCCCUGAGGGGGAAAGUGGGGGACCGCAAGGCCUCACGUUAUUGGAGCAGCCGAUGGCUGAUUAGCUAGUUGGUGAGGUAAAGGCUCACCAAGGCGACGAUCAGUAGCGGGUCUUAGAGGACGAUCCGCCACACUGGAACUGAGACACGGUCCAGACUCCUACGGGAGGCAGCAGUGGGGAAUCUUGGACAAUGGGCGAAAGCCUGAUCCAGCAAUGCCGCGUGCGUGAAGAAGGCCUUCGGGUUGUAAAGCGCUUUUGUCUGGGAGCAAAUCCUGGCCUCUAAUACAGGUCGGGGAUGAGAGUACCAGAAGAAUAAGGACCGGCUAACUACGUGCCAGCAGCCGCGGUAAUACGUAGGGUCCAAGCGUUAAUCGGAAUUACUGGGCGUAAAGCGUCCGCAGGUGGCUUGAUAAGAUAGACGUGAAAUCCCUGGGCUCAACCUAGGAAUUGCGUUUAUGACUGUCUCGCUAGAGUAUGGGAGAGGGGGGUGGAAUUCCACGUGUAGCAGUGAAAUGCGUAGAGAUGUGGAGGAACACCGAUGGCGAAGGCAACCCCCUGGCCUAAUACUGACACUCAUGGACGAAAGCGUGGGGAGCAAACAGGAUUAGAUACCCUGGUAGUCCACGCCCUAAACGAUGUCAACUGGUUGUUGGGUCUUUGCUGACUCAGUAACGAAGCUAACGCGUGAAGUUGACCGCCUGGGGAGUAC
rnacentral:rRNA from 1 species